GGGAAAAUGCGCGCUUCCUGUAGGUUCGUACGAAAUUACCUUCCCUAAUCUGAGGAUUAACGCUGUUAGCCAUUUCGUCCCAGUCCGCCAAACGCAGAGAAAGUGCGCGUAGUUUGUCCGGUUUCGUUUGUGCAAAAUAAAUCACUAAAAGUGAUUAGCUAGUAGCUACGUGCGUAGAAUUGUGUGCAAAAGGUUACAGAAAGGUAAAUGUGCUCAAAGUAAAGUGGCAUUGACCCCCACAAACGUGCUAAUGACCCCGUUUGCAAUAGCCAGACGGCCUUUUUC